ACACUAUCAUUAACUGAAUCCAUAGGUUAAUGAGGCGAACCGGGGGAACUGAAACAUCUAAGUACCCCGAGGAAAAGAAAUCAACCGAGAUUCCCCCAGUAGCGGCGAGCGAACGGGGAGGAGCCCAGAGCCUGAAUCAGUGUGUGUGUUAGUGGAAGUGUCUGGAAAGGCGCGCGAUACAGGGUGACAGCCCCGUACACAAAAAUGCACAUGCUGUGAGCUCGAUGAGUAGGGCGGGACACGUGGUAUCCUGUCUGAAUAUGGGGGGACCAUCCUCCAAGGCUAAAUACUCCUGACUGACCGAUAGUGAACCAGUACCGUGAGGGAAAGGCGAAAAGAACCCCGGCGAGGGGAGUGAAAAAGAACCUGAAACCGUGUACGUACAAGCAGUGGGAGCCUCUUAAUGGGGUGACUGCGUACCUUUUGUAUAAUGGGUCAGCGACUUAUAUUCUGUAGCAAGGUUAACCGAAUAGGGGAGCCGAAGGGAAACCGAGUCUUAACUGGGCGUUAAGUUGCAGGGUAUAGACCCGAAACCCGGUGAUCUAGCCAUGGGCAGGUUGAAGGUUGGGUAACACUAACUGGAGGACCGAACCGACUAAUGUUGAAAAAUUAGCGGAUGACUUGUGGCUGGGGGUGAAAGGCCAAUCAAACCGGGAGAUAGCUGGUUCUCCCCGAAAGCUAUUUAGGUAGCGCCUCGUGAAUUCAUCUCCGGGGGUAGAGCACUGUUUCGGCAAGGGGGUCAUCCCGACUUACCAACCCGAUGCAAACUGCGAAUACCGGAGAAUGUUAUCACGGGAGACACACGGCGGGUGCUAACGUCCGUCGUGAAGAGGGAAACAACCCAGACCGCCAGCUAAGGUCCCAAAGUCAUGGUUAAGUGGGAAACGAUGUGGGAAGGCCCAGACAGCCAGGAUGUUGGCUUAGAAGCAGCCAUCAUUUAAAGAAAGCGUAAUAGCUCACUGGUCGAGUCGGCCUGCGCGGAAGAUGUAACGGGGCUAAACCAUG
rnacentral:rRNA from 1 species